UACGGAGGGUGCAAGCGUUAUCCGGAUUCACUGGGUUUAAAAGGUGCGUAGGUGGGUUGGUAAGUCAGUGGUGAAAUCUCCGAGCUUAACUCGGAAACUGCCAUUGAUACUAUCAAUCUUGAAUCAUCUGGAGGUAAGCGGAAUAUGUCAUGUAGCGGUGAAAUGCUUAGAUAUGAACAUAGAACACCAAUUGCGAAGGCAGCUUACUACGGGUGCAUUGACACUGAGGCACGAAAGCGUGGGGAUCAAACAGG
rnacentral:rRNA from 1 species